AUUGAACGCUGGCGGCAUGCCUUACACAUGCAAGUCGAACGGCAGCGGGCCUUCGGGUGCCGACGAGUGGCGAACGGGUGAGUAAUGCAUCGGAACGUACCUUUCAGUGGGGGAUAACGUAGCGAAAGUUACGCUAAUACCGCAUAUUCUGUGAGCAGGAAAGCAGGGGAUCGCAAGACCUUGCGCUGAUUGAGCGGCCGAUGUCAGAUUAGCUAGUUGGUGAGGUAAAGGCUCACCAAGGCGACGAUCUGUAGCGGGUCUGAGAGGAUGAUCCGCCACACUGGAACUGAGACACGGUCCAGACUCCUACGGGAGGCAGCAGUGGGGAAUUUUUGGACAAAUGGGGGGCAACCCUGAUCCAGCCAUGCCGCGUGAGUGAAGAAGGCCUUCGGUUGGUUAAAGGACGUCUUUCGGUCCGGGACGGAAAUAC
rnacentral:rRNA from 1 species